rnacentral:rRNA from 1 species
ACCCCAGGUCAGGCGGGAUCACCCGCUGAGUUUAAGCAUAUCAAU